UUACAUGAAUGAGAUUUUGAAAGAGUCAUGUUCAUUACAUAAAUGCGAUAUUUUGAAAGAGUAUCCCAUCCAAUGAAAAUACUUUUAAGUAUCUACUUUAUACGAAAGUGGAUUACGGAUGCAUAUACAUAAAGUAUGUAUUAAUUGUAGGGGCAAGCCGGUGGCAAAAGCUGGUAGGUAAUCGGACAAAAGUGAAGUGCAUGGUGGAUUGUUGUCGUCGAUCGGGUCCAAGUCCAAACGAUCAGAAAGCGCCCGUUCAUCUAAUGCACCCCACUUGCACCAUUUAACACCUCUCCUAUCGAUUUGUAUGUAAUACAGACACUCGCACAUCUGUAGACCGACCAAAAUUGUUUCUUAUCGCCAAAAGAAUAAUAUCAUUUGGUGUAUACGUAUGGUGUACAAAAUUUCCGGAACAAUACAUAUACAUAUGCAAACAUGGAUGUUUAUUAUAUAAAACCCACAUGGAAUAUCU
rnacentral:lncRNA from 1 species